CGAAGAGAAACGAGCCGCGGUGGAGCCGGAAGUCAGAGCGUGGAGCGGUGCUGGGGGCUGCAAGUCUGAGUUCAAGUGCACGAGUCCCCGCGUCCUGGCACCCAUGCAGGGAUGGCCGAGUGGGUGGAGUUCCGGGAGCGGAUCCCCCGGGAGUGCCUGGAGGAGAUGCAGUUCAUAGCCUCCGGUGGGUUCGGCACCAUCUAUCGGGCUCAGCAUCGUGACUGGCGCAUCCCCAUCGCUGUGAAGAAACUGAGCCGAGACACCUGCAGCCGUGAAGAGCUCCUGGCGGAAGCCCGGGCCAUGGACAAAGCUCGCUUCAUCUACAUCCUGCGGCUCUUCGGCCUCUAUGAGGAGGAAGAGGAGGGCUGGGACUCUGGCCCCCGGCUGGGCAUUGUCAUGGAGUACAUGGAGAAUGGCAGCCUGGCCAGCUUGCUGGAGAGAGUCCAGCCAGUCCCCUGGCCAAUGCGCUUCCGCCUCCUCCACCAGGUGGCGCUGGGCAUGAAUUACCUGCAUGGGCUUCACCCACCGUUACUGCACCUGGACCUCAAACCCAGCAACGUCCUGCUGAAUUUGGAGCUGCAUGUCCGGCUGGCAGACUUUGGGCUAUCGAAAUUCAAGCGAGUGACGACCAAGCAGGGAGCAGACCGCUCCGGGGAUGAGGAUGACUACGGGGGUACCCUGGAGUACAUGCCCCCCGAAUCCCUCAUAGACAUCAACUACAAGCCAACGCCAGCCACAGACAUAUACAGUUAUGCCAUCCUCACCUGGUCCGUGUUAAGUGGUGAACAGCCUUACCCAAAUCUCCACCCAAAAUGCAUGAGCUCCCUGCUCCGAAUGCACAUCCCCCGGGGUCAGAGACCCGACAUGAAGGAGCUGGAGGAGGUCACAGGAGUGGAGGGCCUGGAGGACAUGAAAGAGUUAAUGAAGAGAUGUUGGCACAAUGACAGCUGGGAAAGACCCACUUUUAAAGACUGCAGCAGCAAGACAGAGAAGAUUUUUUCCUGCCACAAGUCCCAGAUCGUGCCGGCUGUGCGUCAGGUGCAGGAUGUGCUGAUGAUGAUGGCCAGUUCUCCCAGCGAUGACUCCAGACCAUCAGUAAGCGUCCCUGCACCUGCUGCGGCUGAGAGCUCCCAUCUCCACACCUUUCCUCCAUCUUCCCUCGGGGUCUCAGAGCAAUUCCAGACACUUCGCUAUGAGGAUCGUCCAUCCAGAGAAAACGAAGCUGUGCUCCAGAGAAACAUGAGGCAGACGGAGCAUCACCAAGGACCUGGUACCCCUCAGCCCUGCAGUGUCAGAAUGGGUCCCAGGCAGGGAGCAGAAGGACCCAAUAAUGGAGAAUUUGGCUCCCCCAAGACAAUCCCAUCACAGUUGAGACACCCAGACAAUCAGCCGAGGCCCUUCUUCCCCAGCCAGUCCCAACCACACCUCCCCACCCAGGGGCCGGAUCAACCCAUGUUCCCAUUCCGGCAACCGUAUCCACAACCUGGAUUCUCAGAGAAACCAGGGGCCUGCCGGAAUCGCCCUGCCAAUAAGGAGAAUAACAUCAGUGAUUGAUAUUACCCAGUCCGGCCUGUCCUGCUGAGAACUCACAUUGCAUCUGGGACAGGUAUUCUCUGCUGCUGAAGGCCCAGCUCUUUCUGCCAAUCAGAACCAGCCUGGAAAUGGAUGGGCAGAAAGAAAAAUCUAGAGCUGGGCAAAAUGAGGCUUUCAGCUUCCGCAGCAGAAAUCUUCUGCAGUAAAAACCAUUCUUGUCUGAGCUCCAACUCCUUCUGCACACUGCGUCCAACAUGCAGAAAUACUCGGCAGCGUCUUCAGGUCUAAGGUUAGUCAUGUGCAAAUACAACAGGUUGUUGGGACUGUGCCCGGAGAUGGUGAAUUGGCCUUUCACUGAAGCAGCAUAAUUUUUUGUACCUCCAGCCCAAUGACUAAUGGUUGAGAGCCACUCCGGUCCCUUUCCAGGUAUGUUUCUGUACCAGGUCGUCCCAUAAUCACCAAAACUGAAUCCAGAGGUUUGCAGGAGAUCCAGAAAGAGUCCCUAAGUAUUUUAACUUCUCCACCAGAUGCCACAAAUUCUAAUUGUAGCUGGAUCCCUGGAUAGUAAAAAAGAGACAUGGAGACUUCCCUAAUAAUACGUGGGCGUCUCUCAUGUCUGCAGGAAUGAAAUUAUAUGUGAGAACCACUAGAAAGGAUGCAAUAUCAAGCCAUAAUAGCAUCCCUCUGAUUCUGAGGAGGGCUCUCAUGGGAAUUUGCUGUUAAUUGCACAGACACAGGGGGAUGCAGAUUGUCUCGAUCUUCUCUCCAAGAGCUGUAGCGGCAGGACAGUCUCAGCUUUAAACAGGAAAUUCAGUGAUGCAUUUUGCACACAUCCUGUUUUAGAAGAGUCAGGUGAACGCCAGCCCAGAAUAAGCUGCAUUUUAAAUCCCAUGGUGUUGCUUGACUGAGGGCAAAUAAUAACAAUAUUCAUGGAGUUAACAACAGGUGGGUUCAUCUUCACAUGGGGUGACUACUUUGCCUUAUGUUGAAUCCUGUGACCAUUCCCUUGUUUUUUGGUCUGUUCAACAUGUAACCUGCUUGGGACAAGGACUAUCUCUUACUAUGAAUCACACUGUGAUCCUUUUACAUUUGGUAGUGCUUUAGCCCAAAAGUUUAUCAACAAAAUGAUGAGGUGUCUGGAACGGCUGCCAUAUGAAGUGAGAUUAAUAAGACUGGAACAUUUCAGCUUGGAAAAGAGACGACUAAGUGGGAAUAUGAUAGCGGUCUAUAAAAUCAUGACUGGUGUGGAGAAAGUAAAGAAGGAAGUGUUAUUUACUCCUUCUUCUAACACAAGGACUAGAUGUAACUGGGCCUUAGUGGGUCACAACUGAGGAUGCCAAAUACAGGCCGAACUGCUGAGAAAUAGGGCAAACACAACCAAAAACUGGUGGUUAUUCUUUUAUUAGAUUUACUAAACCAACCACAAAAGUAAACUCCUGUUUCACCACACUGGCUAACAAGAAAACAUAAAGGCAGUUUCCUCAGGCACCCCGGUUCUUAUAUCACCACCACAACCACUGGAUUCAGAGAUGAGUGGUUCUUUACAAUCAGUCUCAUCAAAUAAUCGCUUCUUCUGAUCCCAAACGACCAGCCACACACCCAGGUCAAUAUAUAAUUUAGAUCUUACCCAAAAAUCAUGCUGAUGCCAAUCCUUUAGUAUCUAAAAACUAAAAGUUUACUUAUAAAAAGAAAGAAAGAAAAGUGAGAGUUACAAUUGGUUAAAUGGAAUCAAUCACAUAUAAUAUUGGCAAAGUUCUUGGUUCAGGCUUGUAGCAGUGAUGGAAUAAACUGCUGGCUCAAGUCAAGUCUCUGGAGUACACUCACAGCUUGGAUGGGUUAUUCAGUCCUUUGUUCAGAGCUUCAAUUUGUAGCAAAGUUCCUCCAGAGGUAAGAAGCAGGAUUGAAGACAAACUGGAGGUGUUUCCAGGGCCUUUUAUAGCUUUUGCAAUGUGGAGGGCACCCCAUUGUUCUUACUGUGGAAAAUUACAGCAACAAGAUGGAGUUUGGCGUCACAUGGGCAAGUCACAUGUUCAUGCCCAAUUUCCCUCAGUCAUUGCAGGAAGCCAUUAUCUACACUCCAGACAGCACAUUUACAUGACAGUCCACUCAGUGUAGGUGGGCGUCUCCCAUAGAACAUUGUCAACCAAGUGUUUCUUGAUGAACCACUUAACUUGAAUAGUCCCUCCAAGAUGAGCUGGGCACUACCUUGUGGGCAUUACCCCAGGAGCCAACAUUUGAAAUCCAGGUAUAGAGCCAAUACUUAUAACUUCAAAUACAAAAAUGAUCCAUGCAUACAGAUAGCAUAAUCAUAACCCACAAAUCAUGACCUUUUCAUAGACAUCUCACUUGACAACCUUUGUAAAAGAUUUGGUGCAAAUGUAGAAUGGUGGUUGCAACAAUGAUCUAUAUGGUCAUAUUUUAAUCAGAUAGCGUCACACUAGGGGUCACCAAAUGAAAUUAAGAUGAGGUCCUGAGACAUAAGUCCUUGUAUCGUGAGAAAGGAGGGAGACCUAAUUCUGGCAAAACCAGAAAAUAAAUGGGUUCUGGAAAUCCAUCAGCAGAUACAGUACCUCCUUUGAGGAUGGAUACAUGGUUCAGUUGUGGGAGGUGAUCCAAAACAGGAAGAGGCAUUAGAAAAACUAAAAAACUGGGAUGGUGGCCUGGAGUGAAAGAGGAUUUAAACCUGCAUAUUCAUAGCUGUUUAACAUGUGCUAAGCAAGACCCUGCUAGAAGAAAAAGACAUGGAAACAGGAGCGGUGCCAGGGUUUUUGCUGCCCUAGGUGGCAGCGCCCCUCCUCUGAGCAUUCGGGGGGGGGGUGUCCUUCCACUCCGUGUCUUCGGGGCACUUCGGCGGCGGGUCCCGGAGCAAGUGAAGGACCCGCCGCUGAAUUUCUGCUGAAGACCCGGAGCGGAAGGACCCCCCGCCAUUGAAUUUCCGCCGAGGGUGGCAAAAUGCCACCCCCCAAAUCCUGCCGCCCUAUGCGACCGCCUAGGGUCGCCUAGUGGAAGCGCCAGCCCUGUGUGGAGAGUUAAUGCAUCAAGCGUUAAAAGGCCCCUUCCAACGUUUACAGGUUGCUUUUGUAGGACCCUUGCCUACUACUCCUUGGGGAAACAGAUUGUUGUUGGUAAUUGUGGAUAGUUUUAGCAAAUGGGUAGAAAAUAAAAAUAGAAAAAGAAAACAGUGCUGCAGCUGCAAAAAUGUUAAUAGCUGAAAUUUUUCCAAGAUGGGGGCUGCCACACAGCAUUGAUUCUGACAAUGGGCCGGGACAAUGCCUUUAUCGGACAGGGAUUCCGAAGUAUGGGGACCUGGACUGGGAUUCCCCUACCGUCACACGUCCCCUACCACCCUCAAGCUGGGGGACAGGUGGAAAGGAUGAAUAAAGCUCUUAAAAUUGAACUGUCUAAAGUGUGUAAUGAGCUGGGAACAAAUUGGGACGUGGCCCUUCCCUGGGUUCUAAUGAGGAUCCGAGGCCACCCAAACCGCAUGACAGGAUUUAGUGCCUAUGAAAUACUCUUUGGGAGACCUAAGCCUGGCUGGGAAAGCUUGCUGUAGCCCCCAGACUGGGAAACAAUUACAGCACUGGCAACCGCCACCUGGGUGAACAGCUUUAAAUAUUGGCUGGGCACCGUUCAAGGAGCAGCUGCAGCACAGCAAAACGUGACUCAGGCAUUUGAUGAAAGCAGCGAUAUCAAACAAUGGCAAAUUGGAAGCCACGUUAUGAUUACGAUUGAACCAGCUCCAAAUUAAAAAUUUCCCAAAGGAGAGUGGUCAGGUCCUGGGCCAAUUUGAGAUUAAUUCAGGCCCUCUCUGUACUUGGUUGAAACAGAGGAACAGCCUCGGUGGAAAGAUGCCAUGCAAUUGAAGGGAUAUGAGGGUUAUACUGCAUAUUACAUGUUCGGUGCUUUUUUACAGAAAACCACACCGGAUAAGUGGUUAAGGGAAGCACAAUAGAAACCUUCCAAAUCAAUAAUGGAACUUUAAUCUCCAAGCUCCAUCCGCACCCCGCUUGUUACUGUGUAUUGCUGGGAGUCAAUUAAAAAGAUUUGAGGUGUCCAGACCUUACCCCAUCAGACAACUGAGUGCAAAAGGACAAAUUACUUGGGGUAUUGGUAAUCUGAUCACCGUCUGGUGGAAUGAUAAAGACACUUCCGUGUGGAAGCUGGACCAAGUAGGGAAACAGCCUUUGUGGAUGGUGGGACCAGGAAUUUCAUGGAUUAAUACCACACCUAUCAUCCCCUUGGGAACAAGAUUCCUGUUCCUGAACCCCCUAAACAGGGGCGGCUCCAGGCACCAGCGCAGUAAGCACGUGCCUGGGGUAGCAAGCCAUGGGGGGCUCUGCAUUUUAAUUUAAUUUUAAAUGAAGCUCCUUAAACAUUUUAAAAACCUUAUUUACUUUACAUACAAUAGUUUAGUUAUAUAGUAUAGACUUCUAGAGAGAGACCUUCUAGAAACGUUCACAUGUAUUAAUGUAACCCUUAAAUCAGAGUGACUAAAUGAAGACUCGGCUCAGCACUUCUGAAAGGUUGCCGACCCCUGGGCUAAGGCCUUUGGCUAAGCAGCAGGGGCAGUCAUAAGCCGGGAAGCGAACGGUCACAUCCUCACAUCCCAAACCAGCCCCACUGAAAUAAGGUGGUAUUGGGCUGUUAGGACGACAAUCCUGUCCUGAUAGUGCCCAUCCCCACCAGAUAAAGAAACAGAUCUUAAGAUGGUUAAAGAGAACUUAGUUUGAUAGCAUCCGGUCUGGCAAGAAUUCACUUAUCAGUGGUUGUGGUUAUGAAACCCUCAUUUCUAUAGGUUUUAUCUUUAUGGCCCCCACUUUUCUAUUCUUAAUCUGUCUGGUUCUGUAAUUGUUUCUGUCUGCUGUAUAAUUAAUUUUGCUAUGUGUAAGUGAAUUAGGGUAGUGGGAUAUAAUAGGUUAGAGAAUUAUGUUAC